AGCAAGGCACAGGAACUGUCCAGGAGAUCAGAGGUUUCGUCAAAUGUUGAAACAGAACCUGAAGGUCCAAAAAGCAGAGCUACCAAAAAGCCUGCUAGAUAUGACUUCUCAGAUGAAGCUGAUGAUGAAGGCGAUAAUCCUGAGUUCUCCCACACUCCAUCUGUAGCUGUUCUGCCACAAUCUCCUCACCUAAAUGUUGGACUUUCCAAAACAAGCUCGCAUCAUACCAAACACUCAGUUGUUCAUGAAAGAUUUUCCUCCCCAGAAUGGUCUGAUGCAUCCUUCAAAACCAGAUCCUCAUCACGGUCCUCAGAAAUAAUACAUGUUAACGCACAAGAUUUGAAAAAAAAAUACACAUCAGCUUCAUCAGACCGAGGUGCAACAGAACUUGUACCUGUUUCACAGACAGAGUUUGCAGAGUUCAAGAGCGCUGUAAUGGCAAACUUCAAGACAAUCCAGGAAAACCAGCGGCUGAUGUUAAGCUGCCUACAGUCUUCUUCCAGUGGGCUAGGGGAUGAUGUGGAGGAUGUACUGCCAGCUCCAGUAAGCAGCUUGGAGGAACUGGAUGACCUAAACUCUAAAUUGGCUGAUCAAUCUUUCAAAAGGAAUUUGGUAAAAUAAAAAUGUAUAAAUUUGAAUAUGAGAAAGUUUCAUGAUAUUUUGAAUAUUGAUAUAAGAUUAUUUUUGUCUUGAAGAAUCAUAUCUUCUUGUAUUUAUGGUCCUACUAUUUGUUGCAGACACUGUAUUU